rnacentral:rRNA from 1 species
AACCAACGCUGGCGGCGUGCCUAAUACAUGCAAGUCGAACGGGGAAAGCUUUCGGGUGAGUACUAGUGGCGCACGGGUGAGGAACGCGUGGAUAAUCUGCCUUAGAGUGGGGGAUAACUAGUCGAAAGAUUAGCUAAUACCGCAUAAGACCACGAGAGCUGCGGCUUUUGAGGUCAAAGGUUUUUCGCUCUAAGAUGAGUCCGCGUAAGAUUAGCUAGUUGGUGAGGUAACGGCUCACCAAGGCGACGAUCUUUAACUGGUCUGAGAGGAUGAUCAGUCAAACUGGAACUGAGACACGGUCCAGACUCCUACGGGAGGCAGCAGUAGGGAAUAUUGCACAAUGGAGGAAACUCUGAUGCAGCGACGCCGCGUGGGUGAUGAAGGCCUUCGGGUCGUAAAGCUCUGUCGCAGGGGAAUAACACAAUGAAGGUACCCUGUAAGAAAGGAUCGGCUAACUUCGUG